UUAACACCUAAAUAAUUUAGGACACCAGAAUUAGAAAAAAUAAUGUAAAUUUCGAUAAAGAGAAAAAAGAGUCCAACAUAAAUCCAUUGUCAAGUCAAGAAGAUAUAAGAUUUUUAUUCGAUGACUGUAUUGGAAUUAAUAAAUGUUAUAAACCUACCAUUCCACGUAGAGAUUUGAACAAAGGAAAAUCACUUCCUUUUAUAAAACCUUUAGAAAACAAAUCAAAAUAUUUUGAUAGAAAAUUGAGUCGCCCAUUUUC